ACCAGGGUGAAACUCAAGACGGACAUUACGCUUCUGCUCCUCCUGAUGAAUCCAGCCUCACAUAUUCUGUGGUCGAGCUCAAACACCUUAAAAAGAAGGAGAAGCACGAUGAACCAGACGAGAGCCCCGUUUACUCGGAUGUGAGGAUCCCAUCAGCUGCAGGAAAAUCCAGAUGUGCAGCAGAAGAGGAAACUCUUUAUUCUGAAGUCAAACCAGGAACAUCUGAUCAAUAAAGACGUCCGUGUGGACAAAACCACCGACAUGAAAAACAAUCUCUUCAGGAUAUAAGAUGUGUCCUUAAACAGCUACAGAGCAGACAGCUUGGUGUUCUGUGGAAGCCUCUUCCCUUGUUGUAGUCUGCUUUGGAUGGAUGAGGUUCUGGUUAAAAAGGAUCAUGUGAUCUUUGCAGGUUUCUUCAUCGUAUCCAGAGAGGUAGAGUCCAAAAAAAGAGCGUUGAUCUUUCUUUCCCCGAUACGUUAGCGUAGCAUAGAGCCAUGAUACUUCCCCCGGGGACACGAGAACCCUUCAUCUCAUGGAGCCAUUUGAUUAUCUGACAAACAGUUUUACGACAAAGUUUUGUUUUUGUUGCUGCUUAUUAUAUAUUAUAAUUACAGUCUGCUGAGUGCUACUGAAAUUCAUUUUAAAUGUUAGAUAUAGUCUGAAGUAGCAUAAAGUCUUUUGCUUGCAUCCUUAAAUCCCUAUAAUACUUUUUUUCCAGUAAAAGUGGAUAAAUAGAAUCUCACAUGGAGUGUUUGUCUCUUUUCUGCCUGAGAUUGUAUAUUUUUUCCUGCAUACUUACAGACGUCUGGAGAUGUCAGAAGACUUUUAGUGCUGCAAAAAUAAUGGAUCCAUUUCAAAGGGAAUGUUAGCAACUGAUGUCUGUAAGAAAGCAAACAUCAAAAGCUUUAAGACUAAUCAGCAAACUCCUGCCAUCCUUCUUCAUCGUACUGAGAGAUCUAAAUAUUAUCUAUUAGUUACUGAACACAGCUUUGUUAUGGAGAACUGAACUCAAUUGAAAACAUUAAAUUCCCAUUAAGGGAUUUUUAUCCUCGAAAAAAACUGCAGAUUUUCCAAUAAAAUCCACUAAAAUACCAUUUAA